AAGACCUUGAAUCUCCUGGAACCAGAGGGCAUCCUGAGGAUGGUCACUGUGAUGUAGCCAUAGGAAGUCAAGAUCCCAAUUGUUGCACCCAGCAGGAUGAAGCCACAGAUACUGAACAUGACCAGCUCAUUGAGAGCUGUGUCAGCACAGGCAAGUCUGAGCAAUGGGAGCACAUCACAGAAGAAGUGAUCGAUGCAGUUGGAGCUGCAGAAGGGCAGCUGGAGGGUGAGGGUGGUCUCCACAAUGGAGUUGAGGCAGCCUCCAAAGUAGGAGCCCAGCACCAGGUGCAGAAAGCUGUUCAUUCUUGGGUAUGAGCUACUCAGCCCCUGUCCCACCCAUUCCAGCCUGGGGAUACUGCCUUCAUCAAGGCUUUUUGGAGGGAAGGAUUAACUCCAGCCUGGAAGGAAGCCUACACAGUCAUCCUCAUGACACCCUUGGCUCUCAAGUUUGACAGAAUCUCAACGAAGGUUCACCAUUUUGGAUGUCAAGUGGGCAAAACAGUGGGCUGCUGAGCUGGGACCUGAU
rnacentral:lncRNA from 1 species